CAUUCAGAACCAAGUAACAGUUUGAUUAAUGGAAUCUCACCAGAACGAGUCUCGGCGUCACAGUAUAGAUUUCUAUGAACUCACACACAUCUUCAGAUCUCUAGCAAUUACUUCGGCACUGUGUUCUUUUCUCCAUGUCACGUGACCAUCUGUGCUGACGUUUUUAAUCAUCUUUGGCGAAGCUUCCGAAUACGAACACAAGUUUCUUAUGCCAAAUGUACAAUGAAAUGGAAGCCAUCAUGGCUAUUUUCAAAGUACUACCGUGCCAGUUUCUGAAAGGAGAAUCC